rnacentral:rRNA from 1 species
AUACGUAGGGUGCAAGCGUUAAUCGGAAUUACUGGGCGUAAAGCGUGCGCAGGCGGUUUUGUAAGACCGUGGUGAAAUCCCCGGGCUCAACCUGGGAACUGCCUUUGUGACUGCAAGGCUAGAGUACGGCAGAGGGGGAUGGAAUUCCGCGGGUAGCAGUGAAAUGCGUAGAUAUGCGGAGUAACACCGAUGGCGAAGGCAAGCCCCUGGGGCUGUACGGACGCUCUGGCACUAAAGCGUGGGGAGCAAACAGGAUUAGGUCCCCUGGUAGUCCACGCCCUAAACGAUUUCAACUUGUUGUUGGGUCUUCAUUGACUCAGUAACGUAGCUAACGUGUUAAGUUGACCGCCUGGGGAGUUCGGCCGCAAGGUUGAUACUCAAAUGAAUUGACGGGG